GAUGAACGCUGGCGGCGUGCUUAACACAUGCAAGUCGAACGAGCCUUCGGGCUAGUGGCGGACGGGUGAGUAACGCGUGGGAAUCUGCCCUCAGGAGGGGGAUAACGGCCGGAAACGGCCGCUAAUACCCCAUAUGCCGAGAGGUGAAACGAAUUUCGCCUGAGGAUGAGCCCGCGUCUGAUUAGCUAGUUGGUGAGGUAAUGGCUCACCAAGGCAUCGAUCAGUAGCUGGUCUGAGAGGAUGAUCAGCCACACUGGGACUGAGACACGGCCCAGACUCCUACGGGAGGCAGCAGUGGGGAAUUUUCCGCAAUGGGCGCAAGCCUGACGGAGCAACGCCGCGUGAGGGACGAAGGCCUCUGGGCUGUAAACCUCUUUUCUCAAGGAAGAAGACAUGACGG
rnacentral:rRNA from 1 species